UUCCCUGGAAGGAUAUAAAAACAACAACAUUAAAAGAGCAGAAGGGAGGGGCAGAAAGGCAGAGCAAGGAAGGAAGCGUACGAUGUCAACUUUCCCCCUGCAGGCUUCCAAUCCUGAGGUAGGCCGGGCUGGCAGAAAGGAGCAAUUCCAACUUUGAAUCAGUGUAGAGUUUUAUUAGUUUGGUAUUACUCUGGAAACGAGAGACAUGCUACUAAAUACAACUCAUUCAGUAACGUGGACACACUCUGGGUAAUACCUUAGCUAGUGUAGGUGGAGGGUGGAGCUGCCAGCAAAGGGGCACAUGCAACACGUAGUUGUUGAUGCUUAGUGUUACGGGUUGAACUGUGUCCCCCUCAAAUUCAUAUGCUGAAGUCCUAACCUUAGGAGAGGACCUUAUUUGGAGAGAGGGUCUUUACCAGGCAAUCAAGUUAAAAAGAUGCCAUUAGAAUGGUCUUUAUAAAUGGGGAAGUGGCGGUUAGGAAACUGGUGCCCUUAUAAAAUGGGGAAAUCUUCACACAGGAAGAACACCAUGUGAUGAUGAAGGCAGAGAUCAGGGGAUGCUUCCUUAAGCCAAGGACCACCAAAGAUGCCCAGCACACCACCAGAACUAGGCAAGGGGCACAGAAGAGAUUCACUCACGGCCCUCGGGGAAGGCCACCCUGCUGACAGUCCAGCUCCAGCCUGCGAGACAAUGCAUUUCUGUGGUUUAAGCCACCUGGCUUGUGGCCUUGGCUGUGGCAGCCCUAGGAAACCAACACGCUCAGGUUCAGUGUUUCAUUUCUUACAAAUGUGUCUCUUGGCAGCUGUAUUCCCUAGUGGCUGUGCUGAGCUGGCUCCCAUUACAGAUCUUUGAAACGAAUCACUGUGAGUUGAAGUAAGCCAGCCAAUACUUGCCAAAUCGUUCCCAAAACGUGGUUAGGUAAAACUUGAAGUCACCUAUAGGUUUCAGUUAGACAAUUUCUCAAUCUUAACCCCUGGUUUCAACUAACCAUCACAGGAAAACGAAAGGGCUGUAAUAAAGUAUCUGUGCACCAUCCUUCCCCAUCGUGCAGGAUUCAGGAGGAAAAGAGGAACAAGAUAAAGAAUGUACGCCCGGAUCUGAGUGAUGUUUCGUCGCUGCUGUGAAAAUACUCCAAACAGUCCAAUCAGCUCUCCACUUCUGUUUUGUGAGCGACACUACAGUUCCCUACAGAAAGCUGGAGAGUAGGCAUGGUCAGAUCUCCUAUUUCUAUGGUUGUCAUCACUGGAAUAACACCUUAUCUGAAUAACAUCAGAUUGAAGAGGAUGCUAUUGGGGAUAUUUUCAAUUCAUGGAUGUAAAUAUCCAAAAAGAAAAAAGUGAUGCCCCAGGACUUUAUUAACACCAGCCGGGCACCUCCUUCUUCUUACGGCAAGGCCCAGGGCACUCUGUAGCAGCCUGUUGUUUUUCCUAGUGCCAAGUAAAAGUACUCAUCCUUUCAAAA